rnacentral:rRNA from 1 species
UGGGCGUAAGCGUGCGUAGGCGGUUUGUUAAGUCCGAAGUGAAAGUCCAGGGCUCAACCUUGGGAAUGCUUUGGAAACUGGCAGACUUGAGUGCUGGAGAGGCAAGGGGAAUUCCACGUGUAGCGGUGAAAUGCGUAGAUAUGUGGAGGAAUACCAGUGGCGAAGGCGCCUUGCUGGACAGUGACUGACGCUGAGGCACGAAAGCGUGGGGAGCAAACAGGAUUAGAUACCCUGGUAGUCCACGCCGUAAACGAUGAGUGCUAGGUGUUGGGGGGUACCACCCUCAGUGCCGAAGGAAACCCAAUAAGCACUCCGCCUGGGGAGUACGGUCGCAAGACUGAAACUCAAAGGAAUUGACGGGGGCCCGCACAAGCAGUGGAGCAUGUGGUUUAAUUCGAAGCAACGCGAAGAACCUUACCAGGGCUUGACAUCCCUCUGACCGUCCUAGAGAUAGGGCUUCCCUUCGGGGCAGAGGAGACAGGUGGUGCAUGGUUGUCGUCAGCUCGUGUCGUGAGAUGUUGGGUUAAGUCCCGCAACGAGCGCAACCCUUGAUCUGUGUUACCAGCACGUAAUGGUGGGGACUCACAGGUGACUGCCUGCGUAAGUCGGAGGAAGGUGGGGAUGACGUC